UCUAUCCACUAGGGGUGCCGAUAUUGGCUGAGAUUAAAGUUUAUCUUUGAGACCCUUAGUACCUGAUCUGGUUCGUACCAGCGUAGGGAAGUGGAAAUGACAAAAU
rnacentral:ncRNA from 2 species